UUACCACUGCGCAAACAGUUUAUGCAAUAUUCACCGGUCUUAAGCCACGGUAUGGCCCAGCGGCUGGAGGAACGAACAUCACUCUCUUUGGAUCAAACCUCCACCGUGGAAGAGAACGCGGCGUGACAAUGGGAGGAGGUGGAUGCACUAUCUACAGGGUAAGCUCGACGUUCCUGGAGUGCUCGACGCCUGCCGUCGACAACAGAAGCAUGGUGGGCCAGGAGAUGCAAGUCAUCCUAACUAUAGACGGCAAGGAAGUUCCUUUCAUUCCAUCCGCCAUUCCGAGCUCCAAUUUCAUGUACAAGCCGGAUCCCGUCAUCGAUGACAUAAAACCCAAGAG
rnacentral:lncRNA from 1 species